GAGAGAGGCCAACAGUCCGUCCCCCACCUCCAACACGUUGAAGAAGGUCCUGGUGGUCUACCUCACCAAGUUGAUGGAGACCAAGGGCAGACUCUCCCUUAAAGACAUCAACAUCAUCGGUUGAGAAAAUCCAGAAUGCUCUAAAGUCUGUCAAACAGUUGAAUCAAUGGAAGGACAGCAAGGAGCUCAAGGUGGGUUCAGUGGAGGAGUUGUAGGGACGGGAUAGGAAGAUCAUGGUGUCCACCACAGGAGCUUGGUGGCACCUUAAUGACUGGAGUGGAAUGAUAUGAAAUACAACAAACAUGGUUUUCAGGUGUUUGCCAUUCCACUGGCCCCGUUCCGGACAUUAUUAUGAGCCGUUCUCCCCUCAGCAGCCGCCACUGGUGUCUACUUCAAGAUAGACCAAGACUUUAACCUCAGCUUCCUCACUAACAAGAA